AUACGUAGGUCCCAAGCGUUGUCCGGAUUUAUUGGGCGUAAAGCGAGCGCAGGUGGUUUCUUAAGUCUGAUGUAAAAGGCAGUGGCUCAACCAUUGUGUGCAUUGGAAACUGGGAGACUUGAGUGCAGGAGAGGAGAGUGGAAUUCCAUGUGUAGCGGUGAAAUGCGUAGAUAUAUGGAGGAACACCGGAGGCGAAAGCGGCUCUCUGGCCUGUAACUGACACUGAGGCUCGAAAGCGUGGGGAGCAAACAGGAUUAGAUACCCUGGUAGUCCACGCCGUAAACGAUGAGUGCUAGCUGUAGGGAGCUAUAAGUUCUCUGUAGCGCAGCUAACGCAUUAAGCACUCCGCCUGGGGAGUACGACCGCAAGGUUGAA
rnacentral:rRNA from 1 species